rnacentral:rRNA from 1 species
UUGACCUCGGAUCAGGUAGGAAUACCCGCUGAACUUAAGCAUAUCAAAAGGCGGAG